rnacentral:rRNA from 1 species
GUGGGGAAUAUUGGACAAUGGGGGAAACCCUGAUCCAGCGACGCCGCGUGAGUGAAGAAGUAUUUCGGUAUGUAAAGCUCUAUCAGCAAGGAAGAAAAUGACGGUACUUGACUAAGAAGCUCCGGCUAAAUACGUGCCAGCAGCCGCGGUAAUACGUAUGGAGCAAGCGUUAUCCGGAUUUACUGGGUGUAAAGGGAGCGUAGACGGCAUAGCAAGUCUGAAGUGAAAUCCCGGGGCUCAACCCCGGAACUGCUUUGGAAACUGUUAAGCUGGAGUGCAGGAGAGGUAAGCGGAAUUCCUAGUGUAGCGGUGAAAUGCGUAGAUAUUAGGAGGAACACCAGUGGCGAAGGCGGCUUACUGGACUGUAACUGACGUUGAGGCUCGAAAGCGUGGGGAGCAAACAGG